CAGUAGCCGCGGUAAAACGUAGGGUGCAAGCGCUAAUCGGAAUUACUGGGCGUAAAGCGUGCGCAGGCGGUGUUGUAAGACUGAUGUGAAAUCCCCGGGCUCAACCUGGGAACUGCAUUGGUGACUGCAACGCUGGAGUGCGGCAGAGGGGGAUGGAAUUCCGCGUGUAGCAGUGAAAUGCGUAGAUAUGCGGAGGAACACCGAUGGCGAAGGCAAUCCCCUGGGCCUGCACUGACGCUCAUGCACGAAAGCGUGGGGAGCAAACAGGAUUAGAUACCCCCGUAGUCCCUGUCUCUUAUAC
rnacentral:rRNA from 1 species